rnacentral:rRNA from 1 species
UGGGGGGUACAGAAGGCCGCUACCUGGCGACAGGAUGCUAAUCCCAAAAACCUCUCUCAGUUCGGAUCGAAGUCUGCAACCCGACUUCGUGAAGCUGGAUUCGCUAGUAAUCGCGCAUCAGCCAUGGCGCGGUGAAUACGUUCCCGGGCCUUGUACACACCGCCCGUCAAGCCAUGAAAGCCGGGGGUACCUGAAGUACGUAACCGCAAGGAGCGUCCUAGGGUAAAACUGGUAGUUGGGGCUAAGUCGUAACAAGGUAAC